CCUAAAAUCUAGCCUUUAUCAAACUUAUGUAACCCCCAAGAAUAACCAAUAAUAAAAACCAUUUAUAUCUUUUAGUAGAGGUGAUCGAAGAAUAACCAAGAGCUUAAGAAACAGUACCGUAAGGGAAAAAUGAAAUAACAAUGAAUACAUAAGCCCAUUAAGCAGAGCCUCAAACUCGUAC
rnacentral:rRNA from 1 species